rnacentral:rRNA from 1 species
AUUGAACGCUGGCGGCAGGCUUAACACAUGCAAGUCGAGCGAGCGGCGGACGGGUGAGUAAUGUCUGGGCAACUGCCCUAUGGAGGGGGAUAACUACUGGAAACGGUAGCUAAUAUCGCAUACCAUCGGAUGUGUCCAGAUGGGGUUAGAUAGUAGGUGGGGUAAUGGCUCACCUAGGCGACGAUUCCUAGCUGGUCUGAGAGGCUGACCGGCCACACUGGAAGUGAGACACGGUCCAGACUCCUACGGGAGGCAGCAGUGGGGAAUAUUGCACAAUGGGCGCAAGCCUGAUACAGCCAUGCCGCGUGUGUGAAGAAGGCCUUCGGGUUGUAAAGCACUUUCAGCGAGGAGGCGUUACUCGCAGAAGAAGCACCGGCUAACUCCGUGCCAGCAGCCGCGGUAAUUC